GCCUGUGUAGUGCAGUCGUUUGAACACUGGACUACUACUCUGGAGACCAAAGUUCAAAUCCUGGCACAGCCA